GGUGGUGGUGAGUCUUAGUUUGCUAAUCUGUCUAUGCACAUGUGUAAUUGCCUGUGUAGAAUGGGAUGAAAUUAGUUAUUGUUGUUGAUGAGGCUUUGUUGUUUACAUUAGAGAAUAAUAUGGUAGUAAUUUGAUGAUCUGUCUUCAUUAACUUUGUUUUGUUCCAUAUAUAAUUGUCUUCCCUUUUGAUCGACAUGACUCGCUAUCUUUAUUGGAAUUUUAGGUACCAAAAGUCAUUCCAUUUUGAUUGUAACUAGUCUCUGUCAUUGUGGGUUCUGAAAUUGUUAGCCAAAUUCUGAGUGCUCGUUCACAUAUAUGCUGAUAAUGACAUUCCAAUCCGAUGAUUGAACUGCACUCAUAACAAAAAUAUUUUACAUGGGGGAGGAUGAUCUUAGACAAAGUUUAUAGUUUAAACAGUAAUGGAAGUAGCAGACACUGCAGUUCUUGUGAUGAUCAUUAUGAUACGAAUGGUGGCGGUGACAAUGUGAUGUUUUUGGCAAAGGGAAGAAGAGGCUCUUGGUCACAUUGAUUUAGCAUUGACAAGACCAUUUUCUGUACAAAGUUAGUAAUGGCCUUUUCUGGUUCCCUGUUUACUGAUAUCUCCCUCCUUAGUCUGUCUGUCUGCCUGUCCCUCUGUGUUAGAAGAGGACUCUUUGCUUUGGUCCUUUUU
rnacentral:lncRNA from 1 species